GCGACCCAAUCUUGGUUUCCA
rnacentral:miRNA from 1 species